UUGAACGCUGGUGGCAUGCUUAACACAUGCAAGUCGAACGGAAACGAUACUAGCUUGCUAGUAGGCGUCGAGUGGCGAACGGGUGAGUAACGCGUAGGAAUCUGUCCAUCUGUGGGGGAUACCAGUUGGAAACGACUGUUAAUACCGCAUAAUAUCUGCGGAUUAAAGGUGGCCUUUGUGCUGCCGCAGAUGGAUGAGCCUGCGUUAGAUUAGCUUGUUGGUGGGGUAAAGGCCUACCAAGGCUACGAUCUAUAGCUGAUUUGAGAGGAUGAUCAGCCACAUUGGGACUGAGACACGGCCCAAACUCCUACGGGAGGCAGCAGUGGGGAAUAUUGGACAAUGGGGGCAACCCUGAUCCAGCAAUGCCAUGUGUGUGAAGAAGGCUCUAGGGUUGUAAAGCACUUUAGUUGGGGAGGAAAGCUCAUGAGUUAAUAGCUGUGGGAAGGACGUUACCCAAAGAAUAAGGACCGG
rnacentral:rRNA from 1 species